rnacentral:rRNA from 1 species
AUUGAACGCUGGCGGCAAGCCUAACACAUGCAAGUCGAACGAGUGGCGGACGGGUGAGUAAUGUCUGGGGAACUGCCUGAUGGAGGGGGAUAACUACUGGAAACGGUAGCUAAUACCGCAUACUAUCGGAUGUGCCCAGAUGGGAUUAGCUAGUAGGUGGGGUAAAGGCUCACCUAGGCGACGAUCUCUAGCUGGUCUGAGAGGCUGACCAGCCACACUGGGACUGAGACACGGCCCAGACUCCUACGGGAGGCAGCAGUGGGGAAUAUUGCACAAUGGGCGCAAGCCUGAUGCAGCCAUGCCGCGUGUAUGAAGAAGGCCUUAGGGUUGUAAAGUACUGUCAGCGGGGAGGCGUUACCCGCAGAAGAAGCACCGGCUAACUCCGUGCCAGCAGCCGCGGUAAUAC